GAUGAACGCUGGCGGCGUGCCUAAUACAUGCCAGUCGAGCGAACGGACGAGAAGCUUGCUUCUCUGAUGUUAGCGGCGGACGGGUGAGUAACACGUGGAUAACCUACCUAUAAGACUGGGAUAACUUCGGGAAACCGGAGCUCAUACCGGAUAAUAUUUUGAACCGCAUGGUUCAAAAGUGAACGACGGUCUUGCUGUCACUUAUAGAUGGAUCCGCGCUGCAUUAGCUAGUUGGUAAGGUAACGGCUUACCAAGGCAACGAUGCAUAGCCGACCUGAGAGGGUGAUCGGCCACACUGGAACUGAGACACGGUCCAGACUCCUACGGGAGGCAGCAGUAGGGAAUCUUCCGCAAUGGGCGAAAGCCUGACGGAGCAACGCCGCGUGAGUGAUGAAGGUCUUCGGAUCGUAAAACUCUGUUAUUAGGGAAGAACAUAUGUGUAAGUAACUGUGCACAUCUUGACGGUACCUAAUCAGAAAGCCACGGCUAACUACGUG
rnacentral:rRNA from 1 species